AGUGAACGCUGGCGGUAGGCCUAACACAUGCAAGUCGAACGGCAGCACAGUAAGAGCUUGCUCUUACGGGUGGCGAGUGGCGGACGGGUGAGGAAUACAUCGGAAUCUACUUUUUCGUGGGGGAUAACGUAGGGAAACUUACGCUAAUACCGCAUACGACCUACGGGUGAAAGCAGGGGAUCUUCGGACCUUGCGCGAUUGAAUGAGCCGAUGUCGGAUUAGCUAGUUGGCGGGGUAAAGGCCCACCAAGGCGACGAUCCGUAGCUGGUCUGAGAGGAUGGUGAGCGCAACAGGAACGGAGACACGGGCCAGACCCCCAGGGGAGGCCGCAGGGGGGAAUAUGGGAAAAAGGGCGAAAGCCUGACCCAGCCAUGCCGGGUGGGUGAAGAAGGCCUUCGGGUUGAAAAGCCCUUUUUUGGGGAAAGAAAAGCAGCAGGUUAAUACCCCGCUGUUCUGACGGUACCCAAAGAAAAAGCACCGGCUAACUUCGU
rnacentral:rRNA from 1 species